rnacentral:tRNA from 1 species
CGGGAUAUAGCGCAGUUUGGUAGCGCGCCUGCUUUGGGAGCAGGACGUCGCAGGUUCAAGUCCUGCUAUCCCGA